AACAUAUCAGGAGGGCACCUUUUGAUCAUUGCCUUGUACCGCUCCCAGGCUUCAUAGAGGGAUUCACCAUCUCUUUGCCUGAAAGUUUGAACAUUUGUCCUAAGUUU